AGUAGUCACCGACUUUCACCAACUUUGAAACCAAAACCAAAAACAGGAUUCCAGAAGUGCAAGGAGUGCAGAGAGUGAGAGAAAAAGCUGAAAGAGGGCAGGCAGGCAACUGCUGACAAGCGUCUUUCAGCAAAUAGUUCCAGAGGCAGCUGCAGUCACUGAGGGAGAAAAAGAUGACACCUCUUCCUUUACUGAGGCAGCUGAAGACAUGAGACAAAUGUAGAUGAAUCAGUUACUAGAUGCCAAUGAUCCAUCAGUCAUCAGUCUGACAAAGACUGACACCCCUGAGAAGAUCUUCAAAUGUAAUGUGAUGUGUCUCUAAAAACAAAGAUCAGAAUUGUCCAGGCUGUGGUCCCCUCUGUGAUUCUGUAUGAAUACGAAAGCUGGACAAUAAAAUAACAAGACAUGAAAA